ACUAAGGGGGUGGUUGGAAGAAGACAGCUAUGUAGGGAGAGAAGAGUGGGAAGGACUGAGACAGGGAUAGGCAGGGACCCCCACACAGAAGACUGACAAGGACAAAGAGGGCUACUGUGACCCAGAGCAGAGACAGGGCCGGAAAGGGGUGCAGGGCGAAUAGGAGAAGUAGAGGCAGUGAGAAGGGAGGAAAAGUGGAGAGGACAGGAGCAGAGGUGAGGUGAGGAAGAUGGGAGUGAGAUUGUGUGUGUGUGUGUGUGUGUGUGUGUGUGUGUGUGUGUGUGUGUGUGUGUGAGAACGGGGCAGGGUAGGACAGGAUCGGCACUGAGAUUGGCCCAUGGAGGAGUGGGGCCAGCAGGAGCCUUUGGUUUGCGAUCCCUCUGGGUGACUCUACCCUGGCUAAGGGGCCAGCUACCCCAGUCUCUCAGCCUGUUGUUAUUGCUGUGGCCACACCGGAUUGUGUGCCCCCCCAUUCCCUAGAGUCAGGCUUCUGCGGUACUGGUGGGAGCUAUUCAGGGCUGUUCUGUCUGGAUGUUGUCACCUUUGAUGACCCCUGAAGACCAGUGCCAUGUAAGGAACUGGACUCUAGACCCCAGGACAAUGAAAUCACUGUUUUGUGGGUCCUGAAGUUCUAGGCAGAGGUUGCCUUUAUUUUUAAAGUGGAGGUUACCCUAACAAAGAGCUCCAUCACAAUGCAUGACUGUGCCAAGGCUAGAGAGUGGUCUGGGUAAAAGUGGCAAAGCCUUUCCUUCCAGUGUAAGCCCCCUCCCGUCGUGGAGGUGACAGUUUCCUGGGACAGGCUUGCCCUGCACUCCGGAUGGGGCACCAGCAGCACCUCUAGCUGGGAGGUGAAGUUCUGCUUCCCUAAGGGUUCCGGGGAAGAAGGGAAUCCAGUCCUACAUUCCUAAACAGAGGGUAGGGACACAUUGGUCCCCAUGCCUCCAGUUCAUGGCAUAAGGCAAUGUCUUCCUUCUAUAGCCAAGACAGAAAUGUUGGUCUGUGACUUGUGAAUGUUGGGGACAAAGGCGUCCUUUGUGAGUCAGUUAGGAUGAGAAGGGGUGCCUUUCCUGAGCAGAAAUUGCUUGAGCUCUAUUCAGAUUUCCUUCUGGGAAAAGCAUGUUCAGAUUUCCUUCUGGGAAAACCACCGAGUAGCUGAGCAGGUCGGGACACUCAGUGCUCUAGAGUUUAGUGCUUCAGAGACGCUGCGGAGGCAUGGAUGGGCUCACCCUCUGCACCAAGUCUGGACAUGGCAGCAAAGGAGGACUCUCAGGCUGUCAGACCAGCACCACGGCUUGCAUCCCCUGAUGGAGAUUUCUUGCAGCAUCUUCUCCCAUGCGAAGGACAGCUCAGAGCAGGACAUAAGGAGGAGCCAAGGAGACGGAAGCACUACCUCUCUUCAGCUGGUACUACGAUACCUAGGCGCUGUCCAAUGGAUAGUGAGUAUUGGAGUGUUGAACUCAACCGGAUAAAGGUGAGUGCGGUAGAGAAUCCACGUGGCUGGGGCAUGAGAUUUCUAGGAGAGGAGACAAAGCAGCAGAACAGGAUUCAGGGUCUUUGAGACUCCCUGGCAUUCAGAAGGAGGCAGAAAGCAGGGAUUCUGAGGAAAUCCAAGGCUCCAAGUUUCCCAGGCUGUUCCCAGCGGCUGGGGCAGGUCCAAAGCUAGGCUUCUGCUCAUGGUUCACCUUCCCCAGCACACUCCACUUGUGUUUUCAUCCCUUGCCUGGUUCUUGGUAGGGUGACAUUUGGAAAAAGGGCUCUGCGCUUGAAAAUCUCUUUUAACACAGAUGAAGGAACUGAGGUCUUGUGGGGAUAAGAGACCUGUCUAGGUGAGCCAUUGCGGUGUGGUAGCAGACUCACCUGGAAUCAACCUGGUGCUCUGCAAUGGUAACAUGCUGUAUCCAUUAAACUUGGGGAGGUAGACUGAAGUUGGGGAUUGCUUACAAGUCUGGUGUAGGGGAGCCCCGGAAGACAGUGUGGAGGGGCGUCUGGAGUGGCUCCUGACAGCAUAUGCCUAAACCUAUGGCUCCGGCCAGAGGUAGCUCCAGUGAGCACAUGACCCUGCAGUGGCCCCCAUUUGGCGGCAAAUGACUGCCUGGCCUUUCCUGCCCUCCCCUGCUGCAGGCCCACAGACCAGGCCGGAAUGUCCUCAGGAAACUGUACCUCUCUACAGAGAGGAGCUUUGCUUCUGGAUUCCCAGCUGCAGUUCCAGCCAGGAUGUUUUGCAAUGAGCCUGGGGAGAGCAUCCAUUCCGGGAAGAUCAGGGAGUGGACUGUGCUUGCCAGCAGGGGUCUGGCCACAUGGACAGGAGAAGCCCCCGAGGAACUGAGAUUCCAGGAAGAGCACUGGAGGGAAACCUGUAAGCGACAAAGUCCAGGACUUGAACCUGGGUGGACUGCGUUUUAGCUCUAGCCUCUUCACCUGUGGACGUGCUGGGAACUUUGGAGCCAUGGAGUCCUCUAUUUUCCGGAGCCAAAUCGAGCCUCUACACUUGGGAGGGCCAACGAGUGUGUGAAGAUCUCCCAGUUGCCACAUAGCGUAGCGGCUUCCUGAAGUGUCUCUCCCAGGACCCCAAGGGCCCAGGCUUCUGAGCACAGCCACACAGCAUCAAGCCACAGAGCAUCAAGCAUCAAAAGCUGCAGUUCUUCUCUUGAACUGGCAAUGCAGCAAAGCAUUCUUUGCAUGAACAAGAUGAGCAGAAUGGGUUUGGAAAGAUCAGUCUGGAGAUCCAUGGAGACUGAAUUGGAAGAGGUCUUUGAAGUAUUUGAAGAUGACCUAUCCUUCUGAAAUAAAGAACUAUCCUCCACUGCAUCAGUAACCACUGGAGCCACAAACCCCGCCUGUACCUGAUUGGCAGAAGAGGAGCUAGAUUAUGUUCCUGAGUAGCCCUUGCCUGCCUAUAGCCCCACGGGCAUGACUGGUGUAUCGGCUUCAACCACUGGCAGCAGCCUCCCCCUCCACCAGGCUCACACUUCAUCCUCCGAUAUAGAACUCUUGAUACUAAAACCAAGGAAGUUCUGAGCCUGCUGAGAGUUCUCCCAGCAUCCUGUGCGGCAGGCCUCAGCUCCACCUCUACCCUCUGGACUGGCUCAGGUCACACGGUUGUUAAGUAGCAGAACUUGGUUCACACUUGGACUGGCUGUCCCCAAGGCAAGCUGGCAAGCAUGAUGAUGGGAUGGAUCUUCCAGAAAGCAACUUCUAGUGCUGGCUUUCUCCUGCUGUAGGGUGCCAUAGGAGUGGAGGGCAGGCAGCUGGGGCCAGGCCUGCCUCACAGAAAGAAAGACCUGUGGUCUUGAGCACUUUAGAGAGAAGAAAAAUUACAGAGGAUGAGGCCCUGGGAAAGUGGGAGUUAAUGACACAUGGUCCAAUCAUCUUUAGACAAUAAUGAUAUCAGGCAGUUACCAAAGGUCUAGUUCAAUGUCUUACCUCACAGUCCUGCUGAGUAUCUUGUGAUACAGAGAAGCUAGGUAACGUGGCCUAAGUUACAAAGCUCACUGAAAGUGAACCAGGGUCUUCAAAACCUUCUGGCCUCUUUGCCUGGCUGUCCACGAGCCUACAGGACAGGGAUGGGGGCAGUACAGCCCCUUCAUAAGCAGGUGGCAGAGUCUCAGCCACAAUGUUGUCACUUCUUCAGAGGCUGGUGUGGCUGUCUAGCAGUGUGUCAGCAUGUGAGCUCUGAAAGGGCAGAACUGCUGGCUGCCUCACUUACUGAGCUUGGGUUUUGUCUCCAGCUCCAGCAACAGUCCCUGGAGGGGCACUGGGUACCCAGUGUUCUUCUUGGUCAUCACGAUAUAAGAUAAUGAGCUGCUCACAGAGCCAGGGCUUGCCUGCACAAGACUUGCUCAAGAACAAGCAAGUCAAUAUUCUAUCAUGGUUGGAGGAAGGGGCUCAGUAGUCCCAACCCAUAUCUGAGGAACAAUAGGAAGCUGAUGACUUGUAGGGAAGGCAGAGUCAAUUUUCUUUAAGGGUGUGGGUUGGUUGACCAUGCUCCAGAGGAUGGCUCCACACUCACUGAACUCAGCAGGUGAUAAAAAAAAAAUACAUGAAUUAGGAAGGGGUUAUGGAGGUAGGGGUGGAUAUGGGAGGGAAUUAAGAGGAGUAGGUAUGAAUAUGAUCAAA